UUCACUUUAUUUUUCUUGUAUGAAAAUCCUUCUGUGGUGGCCACAGCUGGAGCUGGGGCCUCUGAACAGAGACUCUGGUAUGGUUUUCACAAGAUGCUCAGUGAAUUCCUGAGACACAUUCUGUACAUCCUAAAGUCUGACUACAUAUCAGGGGGAGAGGACCAGAGCGAUUCUACAAGGACACUUGGACCACUUGAAUUGGGAGCAGAGUCAGACGCACAUGUUUGAGGGCUUGGCUUAUGAAAGGUGUGCUUUGAUUAAGGAUCUACCAAACCAGCCAUCACGGACCAAGUUAAGUGAUUGCAAUGCUUUUGACCACAUGGUCAGAGUGCUCCAGCAAUCUUGUCUUUUCGACCAGACCAAGAAGAGCAAAUCACUCAGAGCCCUCAUCACCAUAAACAAUGCUUCGUUUCCAAUUUACGGAAGAGGAAGGUUCCGAGGCUACACAGUCCCUAAGUGCAGAGAAGCUGUUUAAGACGCCACGUGCAUGCUGGGGAGCUUAGUGCUCCAGGCUCUCUGGAAGUGAUGUCCCCAUUGGCCUUGCUGUACAGACUGACCUGGUGAGAGACGAAGUGAGUGACGGACACAAAGUCACAGCCGAGGUUCUUGGUACACUGCAGAUGCUCAUGGUGUAGUCGCUCUGCCCCCGUUCUUUUCUCUCAUUAGUCUUCCUUGCCAUGGGCAUCCAGUAGAAAGUUUAGAUGGCACUUCGCUGGGUGUUGUCUGGAUAGCACAAACCAUAAACUCUGACUUUCUGGUUCUGGAGGCUGAAGAGUCCUCCGCCAGGGUACCAGCAUCAUCCAGGUCUUGGUGAAAGCGAUUAACAGAUGAUCUCUUCAUCCCUCCCCCUUCCUUCCUCUCUUCCUUCCUCCUUUCUUCCAAAUAUUUUUCUUGAUUUAUUUUAUUCUAAAAUAUUUAAAUUUAAAAAGAAUUUGUAUAAUAAUACAAAUAAUUCCUGUGUGUUAUUUAUCAGGGUUUGUGUUUUGAGACACUUCACUUUGGAGUCUUAGAUGACAUGGAAUUCAUUGUGUAGUUGAGGCUGGCCGUGAACUCACAGAGAUCUAUCUGGUUCUGCCUCUUGUAUAUGCCUGGCCUAAAGACACAGAGAUUUAGGAACCUAAAGCCACCAAUUUGGGGAGACCCCAGACAUAGCAGUGACUUCUUAGGAGUUUUGUAGCAUAUAAUAAAGCUACCUUCCUGCUCGUCUGUGUCCACAUCUAAGGGACUCUAAUGUUCCAGCUUAGCCCCACGCACAGUGCCCAGCAUACAAGGAGUGAUUAAGGAAAUGGGAAGUUUGCUAUUGGAACAUGGGAAACAGU